UACGGAGGGUGCAAGCGUUACUCGGAAUUACUGGGCGUAAAGCGCACGUAGGUGGUUUGUUAAGCCAGCUGUGAAAUCCCCGGGCUCAACCUGGGCACUGCAGUUGGAACUGGCAAGCUAGAGUAGGGUAGAGGGGUGUGGAAUUCCAGGUGUAGCGGUGAAAUGCGUAGAUAUCUGGAGGAAUACCGGUGGCGAAGGCGGCAUCCUGGACCGGCAUUGACGCUGAGGAGCGAAAGCUAGGGGAGCAAACGGG
rnacentral:rRNA from 1 species